GAGACACCCUUAUGGGGCACAACUUGCUUCAGUGGAGUUUUGGCGCUCACUGAGUCUGCCCCCUGAGUGUGUCCCU
rnacentral:pre_miRNA from 1 species